CCUACGGGUGGCAGCAGUGAGGAAUAUUGGUCAAUGGACGAGAGUCUGAACCAGCCAAGUAGCGUGAAGGAUGACUGCCCUAUGGGUUGUAAACUUCUUUUAUAUGGGAAUAAAAUGUUCCACGUGUGGGAUUUUGUAUGUACCAUAUGAAUAAGGAUCGGCUAACUCCGUUCCAGCAGCCGCGGUAAUACGGAGGAUCCGAGCGUUAUCCGGAUUUAUUGGGUUUAAAGGGAGCGUAGGUGGAUUGUUAAGUCAGUUGUGAAAGUUUGCGGAUCAACCGUAAAAUUGCAGUUGAAACUGGCAGUCUUGAGUACAGUAGAGGUGGGCGGAAUUCGUGGUGUAGCGGUGAAAUGCUUAGAUAUCACGAAGAACUCCGAUUGCGAAGGCAGUUCACUGGACUGCAACUGACACUGAGGCUCGAAAGUGUGGGUAUCAAACAGGAUUAGAUACCCGGGUAGUC
rnacentral:rRNA from 1 species